rnacentral:rRNA from 1 species
UGGGGAAUAUUGCACAAUGGGGGAAACCCUGAUGCAGCCAUGCCGCGUGUGUGAAGAAGGCCUUCGGGUUGUAAGCACUUUCAGCGAGGAGGAAAGGUUUGUUGGCUAAUACCCAGCACUGUGACGUUACUCGCAGAAAGAAGCACCGGCUUACUCCGUGC